UGCCCGGUCGUCUAAUGGUAGGACACAGCGCUCUGGACGCUGGAAUCGGGGUUCGAAUCCCUGCUGGGCAG
rnacentral:tRNA from 1 species